rnacentral:rRNA from 1 species
AGAGUUUGAUCCUGGCUCAGAAUCAACGCUGGCGGCGCGCUUAACACAUGCAAGUCGAACGAGAAAGGGGAGCAAUCCCUGAGUAAAGUGGCGUACGGGUGAGUAACACGUGGAUGAUCUACCUCUUGGCGGGGAAUACCCCUGGGAAACCGGGGACAAUACCGCAUAAGCUCGGAAGAGGAAACCUGAAAAGGGCCGAGAGAGGAGUCCGCGGCCGAUUAGCUAGUUGGAAGGGUAAAAGCCUCCCAAGGCAAAGAUCGGUAGCCGGCCUGAGAGGGCACACGGCCACACUGGCACUGAAACACGGGCCAGACUCCUACGGGAGGCAGCAGUGGGGAAUCUUGCACAAUGGGGGAAACCCUGAUGCAGCGACGCCGCGUGAGCGAUGAAGCCCUUCGGGGUGUAAAGCUCUUUCGACGGGAACGAUAAUGACGGUACCCGGAGAAGAAGCUGCGGCUAACUACGUGCCAGCAGCCGCGGUAAUACGUAGGCAGCAAACGUUGUUCGGAGUUACUGGGCGUAAAGAGUGCGUAGGCGGUUUACCAAGUCUGCUGUGAAAUCUCCCGGCUUAACUGGGAGGGUGCGGUGGAAACUGGUAGGCUUGAGUGUGGGAGAGGUAAGCGGAAUUCCUGGUGUAGCGGUGAAAUGCGUAGAUAUCAGGAGGAACACCGGUGGUGUAGACGGCUUACUGGACCACGACUGACGCUGAGGCACGAAAGCGUGGGUAGCAAACAGGAUUAGAUACCCUAGUAGUCC